GACGAAUAGGGCUAUUUUGAUAGAAUAGAUCAUGUAAUUUAUUACCUUCAUUA
rnacentral:tRNA from 1 species